GCCUCAGUAGCUCAGUUGGUUAGAGCGCUGCACCGGAAUCGCAGGGCCGUAGGUUCAAUUCCUACCAGAGGAC
rnacentral:tRNA from 1 species